ACUGACAACUCCUAGGUGUAUUAAUAUCUUUCCAAACAAUGAGAGUCUUUGACAAUGUUUUGUUUACAAUACGAUAGCAAUUCACGACUUAAAACUAAAUUAGACAUUACAGAAUUUUAGUACAGAUUAAACAUACAGGAUAAGACGAGUAAGAAGACACUGACAUUAAAAUAUCCCUGACAAUAUCUGCAGUGGUCCAGUAUUAUGAUGAUCAGUAUUAUGAAGAAUACAUUUACAAGACUUGCUUUCAUAAGUGUGAAAAUAAACUUUUAAAUAUAUAGCUGUAUAACUGUCAUUAAGAUUAGUUUUUAUUUGAAUAAUUUAAGACCAUUAUGUAUUCCACUUUGUAAGUGUAUUGCCAUGAUGUGCCUUAAUAUGCACAAAUGUACUUUUUAUGUGCUGCACAUGUAGUUUUCAAAUACAAUAAAUGUAACAUUUUUGUAAUACUGCAUAAUGUCAUAAAAUGUCAUCUAGUAAAACCUA